rnacentral:rRNA from 1 species
AUACGGAGGGGGCUAGCGUUGUUCGGAAUUACUGGGCGUAAAGCGUACGUAGGCGGACUGAUCAGUUGGGGGUGAAAUCCCAGGGCUUAACCCUGGAACUGCCUUCAAUACUGUCAGUCUUGAGAUUGGAAGAGGUGAGUGGAAUUCCUAGUGUAGAGGUGAAAUUCAUAGAUAUUAGGGGGAACACCAGUGGCGAAGGCGGCUCACUGGUCCAAUACUGACGCUGAGGUACGAAAGCGUGGGGAGCAAACAGUAUUAGAUACCCUAGUAGUCC